rnacentral:rRNA from 1 species
GCGGUUCAAAAGCUCGUAGUUGAAUUCCUGUCGAGAAGUGGUUCCCUUACCCUUUGGAUGAGGGUUACUACAUUCUUUACAUCUUCCAUAGUAAGUGUUCUUCACUUAAGUGUGCGGACAUCAUACUCUGGGCAUUUACUUUGAGGAAAUGAGAGUGCUUCAAGCAGGCAAACGCCUGAAUACAUUAGCAUGGAAUAAUAGCAUCGGAUCAUCGUGCAGCUUCUGGUGUCUGAACGAAGAUAAAGGUGAACAGGGGUUGUUGGGGGCAUUCGUAUUUAACUGUCAGAGGUGAAAUUCUUGGAUUUGUUGAAGACGAGCUACUGCGAAAGCAUUUGCCAAAGAUGUUCUCAUUGAUCAAGAACGAAAGUUAGGUGAUCGAAGACGAUCAGAUACCGUCCUAGUCUUAACCAUAAACUAU